CUUUUAAAGGAUCAAAGUUAAUGCCGU
rnacentral:tRNA from 1 species